rnacentral:lncRNA from 1 species
AUGUACAUUAUGGCUCUCUCCUUGCCUGGAACUGGAUAUGAGAAAUGCUUGAAUUAAGAUCUGUGAAUUAUCUUAUUUUCUUGCUCAAAGGCAAGGAAGACUGAGGAAGCUAAGUUACUGGCCAUAUGUUUAAUAAAUAUAAGCUUAAUGGCAGUGAAUGUAUUAAUGUCAGCGAAGACAAGUCUAUGAAGUUAAACAGGCACAGAGAGGCUAAGAGUCUUGCCAAAGGCCACAGAGGAAGGAAGAGACUAAAUCUGGAACAAACUUUCUAUUCUCCAUUUCCAGAAGAAACCACUAAACCAUGCUUCCUCUUGUCAUGGAAGCUUAAAAUAUUUGAUCAAACUACGUUUAAAUAAGAAUUAAAAUGCCAUUUGUCCAUCACCUAAUGGCUCAAUUUGCUCCUGCCUUGGGUGUGCACACCCUGCUCUGGAACAGACCAGAGCUCUAAAGAAGUGACUGGAAGUUGUGAAUGUCAUUGUUAUGAAGCUUCAAAUUUGCUCUCCUCUUUAGGACACAGACAUGGCAUUAGAGAAGGGCAGAAAACUGCACUUGGCUGUGCAUAGAGAACACUAGAGACCUCUUGUGCAAGAGAGGGGACUAGGUUGCGUAGUGUAAUGAGAGAAGCAUGGGUUUUGAGACCGCUACAAUGUCUGUGUCUUCUUGGCCAACAUUUCAGUAAGAGUAGUAAGCAUAUCUCCACAAUAGGGUUAAGAGAACCAGUGUCUUCUGAAAAACACAUGAAAUCAUCGUAACCCUGCUAAGUCUGUGCUUUGCAAAAAUUAAAACUAAAACUAAUUUUCA